CAGGUGGGCCGGGCGACCGCGCGGCGUCGUCGUUCGCGACGGCGCCUCGAGGAAAGUCCGGGCUCCGCAGAGCAGGACGGUGGGUAACACCCACUCGGGGAAACCCGCAGGACAGUGCCACAGAAAACAGACCGCCCGCCACGAGCGGGUCAGGGUGAAAAGGUGGUGUAAGAGACCACCAGCGCGCCGGGUGACCGGUGCGGCUCGGUAAACCCCGUCCGGAGCAAGGCCAUGCAG
rnacentral:RNase_P_RNA from 1 species